AACUAACGCUGGCGGCGUGCCUAACACAUGCAAGUCGAACGAGAAAGCCGCAAGGUGAGUAAAGUGGCGGACGGGUGCGUAACACGUGGGUAAUCUACCUUUUGGCUUGGGAUAACGCCUAGAAAUGGGCGCUAAUACCGGAUAAGACCACAGCCCUGAGGGGUGGUGGGAAAAGGCGCUCGCAAGGGUGCCACCGAUUGAUGAGCCCGCGGCCUAUCAGCUUGUUGGUGAGGUAAAAGCNCACCAAGGCUACGACGGGUAACUGGUCUGAGAGGACGACCAGUCACACUGGAACUGAGACACGGUCCAGACUCCUGCGGGAGGCAGCAGUGGGGAAUAUUGCGCAAUGGGCGAAAGCCUGACGCAGCAACGCCG
rnacentral:rRNA from 1 species